CAGUAGCCACGGGAAUACGGAGGAUCCAAGCGUUAUCCGGAAUCAUUGGGUCUAAAGGGUCCGUAGGCGGUUUAGUAAGUCAGUGGUGAAAGCCCAUCGCUCAACGGUGGAACGGCCAUUGAUACUGCUGAACUUGAAUUAUUAGGAAGUAACUAGAAUAUGUAGUGUAGCGGUGAAAUGCUUAGAGAUUACAUGGAAUACCAAUUGCGAAGGCAGGUUACUACUAAUUGAUUGACGCUGAUGGACGAAAGCGUGGGGAGCGAACAGGAUUAGAUACCCCAGUAGUCCCUGUCUCUUAUAC
rnacentral:rRNA from 1 species